rnacentral:rRNA from 1 species
CUCCACCGAAAGAAAAGAGAGUGGCGAACGGGUGAGUAACACGUGGGUAACCUGCCCAUCAGAAGGGGAUAACACUUGGAAACAGGUGCUAAUACCGUAUAACAAUCGAAACCGCAUGGUUUCGGUUUGAAAGGCGCUUUUGCGUCACUGAUGGAUGGACCCGCGGUGCAUUAGCUAGUUGGUGAGGUAACGGCUCACCAAGGCAACGAUGCAUAGCCGACCUGAGAGGGUGAUCGGCCACAUUGGGACUGAGACACGGCCCAAACUCCUACGGGAGGCAGCAGUAGGGAAUCUUCGGCAAUGGACGCAAGUCUGACCGAGCAACGCCGCGUGAGUGAAGAAGGUUUUCGGAUCGUAAAACUCUGUUGUUAGAGAAGAACAAGGAUGAGAGUAAAAUGUUCAUCCCUUGACGGUAUCUAACCAGAAAGCCACGGCUAACUACGUGCCAGCAGCCGCGGUAAUACGUAGGUGGCAAGCGUUGUCCGGAUUUAUUGGGCGUAAAGCGAGCGCAGGCGGUUUCUUAAGUCUGAUGUGAAAGCCCCCGGCUCAACCGGGGAGGGUCAUUGGAAACUGGGAAACUUGAGUGCAGAAGAGGAGAGUGGAAUUCCAUGUGUAGCGGUGAAAUGCGUAGAUAUAUGGAGGAACACCAGUGGCGAAGGCGGCUCUCUGGUCUGUAACUGACGCUGAGGCUCGAAAGCGUGGGGAGCAAACAGGAUUAGAUACCCUGGUAGUCCACGCCGUAAACGAUGAGUGCUAAGUGUUGGAGGGUUUCCGCCCUUCAGUGCUGCAGCUAACGCAUUAAGCACUCCGCCUGGGGAGUACGACCGCACGGUUGAAACUCAAGGAAUUGACGGGGCCCGCACAAGCGGUGGAGCAGUGGUUUAAUUC